rnacentral:rRNA from 1 species
GCGUGCGCAGGCGGUUUUGUUAAGACUGUCGUGAAAUACCCCGGGCUCAACCUGGGAAUGGCGAUGGUGACUGCAAGGCUAGAGUUUGGCAGAGGGGGGUAGAAUUCCACGUGUAGCAGUGAAAUGCGUAGAUAUGUGGAGGAACACCGAUGGCGAAGGCAGCCCCCUGGGUCAAAAACUGACGCUCAUGCACGAAAGCGUGGGGAGCAAACAGGAUUAGAUACCCCGGU